rnacentral:rRNA from 1 species
AGAGUUUGAUCCUGGCUCAGAACGAACGCUGGCGGCAGGCCUAACACAUGCAAGUCGAGCGCCCCGCAAGGGGAGCGGCGGACGGGUGAGUAACACGUGGGAAUUUUCCUCAAGGUACGGAACAACUCAGGGAAACUUGGGCUAAUACCGUAUGAUGUCUAGCGACCAAAGAUUUAUCGCCUUGGGAUAAGCCCGCGUCAGAUUAGGUAGUUGGUGAGGUAACGGCUCACCAAGCCUGUGAUCUGUAGCUGGUCUGAGAGGACGAUCAGCCACAUUGGGACUGAGACACGGCCCAAACUCCUACGGGAGGCAGCAGUGGGGAAUCUUGCGCAAUGGGCGAAAGCCUGACGCAGCCAUGCCGCGUGAAUGAUGAAGGUCUUAGGAUUGUAAAGUUCUUUCGCCUGUGACGAUGAUGACGGUAACAGGAGAAGAAGCCCCGGCUAACUUCGUGCCAGCAGCCGCGGUAAUACGAAGGGGGCUAGCGUUGUUCGGAAUUACUGGGCGUAAAGCGCGCGUAGGCGGCUUUGCAAGCCAGAGGUGAAAUGCCUGAGCUCAACUUAGGAAUUGCCUUUGGGACUGCGAGGCUUCGAGGACUGGAGAGGUGAGUGGAAUUCCCAGUGUAGAGGUGAAAUUCGUAGAUAUUGGGAAGAACACCAGUGGCGAAGGCGGCUCACUGGCCAGUUUCUGACGCUAAAGUGCGAAAGCGUGGGGAUCAAACAGGAUUAGAUACCCUGGUAGUCCACGCUGUAAACGAUGAGUGCUAGGCGUCGGCACGCUUGCGUGUCGGUGUCGCAGCUAACGCAUUAAGCAUUCCGCCUGGGGAGUA